AGUUGUAAGGAAGGCACGCUGAUAUUUAAAGUAAGUAGAUUUGGUGCUGGCUACUAUAUAGGUUGUGAUCAACAUCCGAGCUGCAAGCAUACACGCAAACUGUGAAUUUAUCAACAUCUUCGUAUUAUGUACCUAGUAAUAGUUCCAUCAGUUACCUCAAUUAUGGUGCUGCAGUUAGUGAGAUUGGUGUCCUAGGAUGCACGAGGAGUCCGAUUGUUCAAUUAAAUGCGAGAUGAAGAAGAUUGUGAUAAGGAUAUGGUAGAAGCUUGUGAUCACGAAGAUGUUGCUUCUGGUUGUCCUGAAGAUGUGGAAGAAGGUUGUCCUGAAGAUGUGGAAGAAGAACAAGGAGAUGAUCAAGAAGAAUAUUAAGAAGUUGUGUUUUAUAUUAUCUAGCUAGCUAGUUGUUAUUUUGGGAUGACUGUUUGAGAGAAACUUGUGUUUAAUUUAGCUCUUGUUUUGAAUCCCAUGGUUGUUUUGAAUUUGGGAUGACAUCAAAACUUAGUAUCCAACUAU